CAAACGGUUUUCCUAAAAACCAUUUGUAAUAUUUAAGCAGUAACUU
rfam:Candidatus Melainabacteria bacterium RIFCSPLOWO2_12_FTLL_35_11 rifcsplowo2_12_scaffold_609, whole genome shotgun sequence.